GUGGUCUUCUCUUGGUCCCUUGCCUCCUUUUCUUCAUGAAGCAUCUAAAUUUUCUGGUGAUUAGGGCCAAAUCCUCAUCUUCCUCACUGUUCUUCGAUUUUUCUGUAUCUUCUUCUUCUUAAGCUGUCGACUUGAAAGCGAUAGUCUUCUUUCUUCUAGUCUCCUCCUCAGAGUGUUGCUUUAUGGUCAGUUCGUGAGUCAUGAGGGAUCCAAGUAGCUCCUCCAAUGGUAGAGUAUUUAAAUCCUUGGCUUCUUGGAUUGCAGUGACCUUUGUCUCCUACGAUCUUGAUAAAGUCCUGAGUACUUUUCUCACAAGAUUACUGUUAAAAUAACAUUUGCCAAGACUUUUCAAACUAUUUAUGAUGUCAGUAAAAUGGGUGAAUAUUUGAGU
rnacentral:lncRNA from 1 species